AAAUAUCCCUAAAAAUCCACCCCAAAUAUCACAAAAUUUAACACAAAAUAGCCCCAAAAUCACCCCNNNNNNNNNNNNNNNNNNNNGCUGCUCGUCCAGCGCCGUGUCCGGAGCCACUGCGGACACGGACGCGAGGUCAGCCCCAAAAUCCACCCCAAACACCCCCAAAUUCCACCCAAAAUAGCCCCAAAAUCACCCCAAAAAUCCACCCAAAAUAUCUCAAAAAUACCCCAAAAAUGCCCCCAAAAUAUCCCAAAAAUCCACCCCAAAUAUCCCAAAAAUCCACCCCAAAUACCCCAAAAAUCAACCCAAAAUAUCCCCCAAAAUAUCUCAAAAGUACCCCAAAAAUAUCCCCAAAAUACCCCCAAAAUCACACAAUGAUUACACCCAAAAUAUCCCCAAAAUAUCCCCAAAAUCCACCCCAAAUAUCCCAAAAUUUAACCCAAAAUAGCCCCAAAAUCACCCAAAAAAUCUCGAAAAAUACCCCCCCCAAAAAAAAGCCCCCAAAAAAUCCCAAAAAAAUCCCCUAAAAAACCCCAAAAAGUUUUUUAAAUUUCCCAAAUAAUCCCCCCAAAUUUUUUUUUAAAUCCCCAAAAAUUCCCAAAAAUCCCCAAAAAAAUCCCCAAGAAAAUCCCAAAAAUUCCCCCAAAAUUCCCCAAAAAUCCCCCAAAAAUCCCCAAAAAAUCCCCCAAAAAAUCCCCAAAAAAUCCCCCAAAUUUCCCCAAAAAUUCCCAAAAAUUCAAAAAAAAAAUCCCCAAGAAAAUCCCAAAAAUUCCCCAAAAAUCCCUCAAAAUUCCUAAAAAAUUCCCCAAAAAAUCCCCAAGAAAAUCCCCAAAAUUCCCAAAAAUUUCCCUAAAAAUUCCCAAAAAUUCCCAAAAAUCCCCAAAAAUCCCCAAAAAUCCCCCCAAAAUUCCCAAAAAUUUGUUUUAAAAUCUAAAAAAAUUCCCCCAAAAAUCCCCCCAAAAAUCCCCCAAAUCCCCCAAAAUCCCCCCAAAAUUUCCAAAAAUUUCCCUAAAAAAUCCCCAAAAAAUCCCCAAAAAUUCCCAAAAUUCCCCCAAAAUUUCCCCAAAAAUUCCCAAAAAUUCCCCAAAAAAAUUCCCCAAAAAAUCCCAAAAAAUCCCAAAAAUUCCUCCAAAAAAUCCCCAAAAAUUCCCCAAAAAAAUCCCCCAAAUCCCCCCAAAUCCCCCCCUGUCUCACCCCAAUAUGCCACCAGGGUGGUGCCAUUGUCCCUUCCCGUGGUGACCUCGCAGGACACGACGUCCCCGGGCCGGGGGGUGACGGAAACUCGGGACAGACGGACAAAGGUCAGGUCGGCCGUGGGGACAAACGGACCCAGAGCGACCCCGGCCGAGAGCUCGGCCCCGGACAGGGACCAGGACAGGGACAGGGACGGGGGGAAAAUGUUCUGGACCAGGCACAGAAGGGUGGUGGCACCUCCUGGGGACCAGGGCUGGGCCGGGAACACCGAGAGCACCGGGAUUCCUGCGGGGAAAAGGGGAAUUUCCUGGGGGAAAAAAUGGGAAUUUUGGGAAAAAAAAUGGGAAUUUUGGGGGAAAAAAUGGGAAUUUUGGGAAAAAAAUGGAGAAAAAUGGGUCAAAAAAUGGGGAAAAUGGGAUGGGAGAUGUUCUGGACCAGGGACAGAAGGGUGGUGGCACCUCCUGGGGAUUAUUGGAGGGAAAAUGGGAAAAAUUGGGAAAAAAAUGGGAAUUUUGGGUGAAAAAAUGGGAAUUUUGGGUCAAAAAAUGGGAAUUUGGGGGGGAAAAUGGGUCAAAAAAUGAGGGAAAAAGGAUGGGAGAUUUUUUGGUGGUUUCCAUCUCUCCAUCCCCAAUUUUUUCCCACAUUUCCCAUCCUUUCCUCCCAAUUUUUUUCCCAUAUUUUUAACCAUUUAAUUCCCAAUUUCUCCCAAUUUUUUCCCACAUUUUCCACUCUUCCAUCCCCAAAAUUUUCCCACAUUUUUCACCAAAUUUUCCCCAAAUUUUCCCUCUCCAUCCCCAAUUUUUUCCCACAUUUUUAACCCUUUCAUCCUCAAAUUUUCCCACAUUUUUAACCCUUUCCUCCCCAAUUCUCCCCACAUUUUUAACCCUUUCCUCCUCAAUUUUUUCCCACUUUUUAACCCUUUCCUCCCCAAUUUCCCCCAGAUUUUCCACCUUUCUAUCCCCAAUUUUUUCCCACAUUUUUAACCCUUUCCUCCUCAAUUUCCGCCACAUUUUUAACCCUUUCCUCCCCAAUUUUUCCACAUUUUCCUCCUUUUCAUCCCCAAAUUUUCACUCUCCAUCCCCCAUUUUUUCCCACAUUUUUAACCCUUUUCUCCCAAUUUUUCCUACAUUUUCCACCCCUUUCCCCCCAAUUUUUUCCUACAUUUUCCACCCUUUCAUCCCCAAUUCUCCCCACAUUUUUAACCAUUUCAUCCCCAGUUUCUCCCAAAUUUUCCCCACAUUUUCCACAAUUCCAUCCCCAUUUUUCCCACAUUUUUAACCCUUUCCUCCCCAAUCCUCCCCACAUUUUAACCCUUUCCUUCCUGAUUUUCCCCCCACAUUUUUAACCCUUUCCUCCCCAAUUUUCCCUGCAUUUUCCACCUUUCCACCUCCAUUUCCCCCCAAUUUUCCACCCCUUUUUCCCAAAUUUUUUCCCAUUUUCCAUCCAUCCACCCCCAUUUUUUCCCCACAUUUUUAACCCUUUCAUCCCCAAAUUUUCCCCACAUUUUUCACCAAAUUUUCCCUCUCCAUCUUCAAUUUUUUUCCCACAUUUUAACCCUUUCCACCCCCAUUUUUCCUACAU
rnacentral:lncRNA from 1 species